CCUGGUUGAUCCUGCCAGUGAUCAUAUUCUUAGAUUAAAGACUAAGCCAUGCAUGUCUAAGAUUAAACAAGUUGUCAGUGAAUCUGCGUAUGGCUCAUUAAACGAACCAUAACCUACCCGAGAACUAGGUACAGCUGGAUAACCGUUGUAAUUCAAGGGCUAAUCCAUGCAUCAAAAGGGGCUUCCUCGUGGAGCCUCUGCAUUUGUUAGCUUCAAACCCUCACUUUGUGAUGAAUCAUGACAAACUGCGAAUCCUCAUGUUGCAAAAAACGGAGGAUGACUCGGUCGGGUCUUUCCCCUAUCAGGUCUCGUAGGGAGUGUAUUGUACUCUCUAGCCUUUGACGGGUAACGGAGAAUCAGGGUUCGAUUCCGGAGAAGGAGCCUGAGAGACGGCUACUACAUCUAAGGAAGGCAGCAGGCGCGCAAAUUUCCCAAUGCUCAACGAGCGAGGAAGUGACGAUCAAUAAUAAUGUGCGGGGAUUUCCCUGUGCAAUUACAAUGAGUAAAAUGUACAAGCGUUUUCCAUGAUCAAUUGGAGGGCAAGUCUGGUGCCAGCAGCCGCGGUAAUUCCAGCUCCAAUAGGAUAUAUCAAAGUUGUUGCAGUUGAAAAGCUCGUAGUCGUAUUUCUGGUGGGUCGAUGUCCUGGUGCUCGUGGGCGAAAGCCUGCGUCUCGCGGGGCCGCCUGCCAUUUUGUGGGCCCAAGUGGCUAUGUUGUGGUUCACUCCACGACGUAGUCGCUCCACUCCGUCACUGAGAGCAAAUUGGAGUGCUCAAAGCAGGCUUUACAGCUUUGAACAUUUUAGCUUGGAAUGACAAAGUAUGACUUUUUGUUCACUUUGUU
rnacentral:rRNA from 1 species